rnacentral:lncRNA from 1 species
CUUCCUCAUCUUAUGACUAUUCGUCUUCCACCGUAAGAGCUACAGUGCUGUGACAGAGGCAUGUGACCUAGCCGCAGCCUGGACCGCAACAAUUAUACAAACUCCCAAUAUCCUUUUAACAAAUUCAUUGUCUGUUUAAUCAGCCAAAGUCUUCUUUUGUUGUUUGUAACCAAGAACACUGAGUAGUACAAACAAUAUCCAACGUGCUAGUGAAGACUUUGAAGGACGCCAUGACACUUCACAAGGAACCCG